rnacentral:rRNA from 1 species
UACGUAGGGUGCGAGCGUUGUCCGGAAUUAUUGGGCGUAAAGAGCUCGUAGGCGGUUUGUCGCGUCUGCCGUGAAAGUCCGGGGCUCAACUCCGGAUCUGCGGUGGGUACGGGCAGACUAGAGUGCGGUAGGGGAGACUGGAAUUCCUGGUGUAGCGGUGAAAUGCGCAGAUAUCAGGAGGAACACCGGUGGCGAAAGGCGGGUCCUCUGGGCCG